ensembl:lncRNA
AUGGUGUGUUUGGGGAUGCUAGCUGCAGGCGAGGCAGAACGUGGCUUCCUGGAGAACGCAGCCAGCUCCCAGCAGCAGACUGAGAGGGAAGCAGCCUCAGGAGGAGAAAUGGAGAUGAGCAGAAGUGGCUGCGGCAUCUCGGGGCUAGAUGUGACUUCCAGCAAAAUUACAGCCCACGGGCUGCAAAUUCCUGCUGCUGGUGCUCUGAAACCAGCCUGCGUCUCACGUCUGCAGCGAGUGCGUGAGGGGGAUGCAGAGGGAGCUCCAGCAGCCCCACGGAGCGGGGGCUGGCGUGCGGAGCCCCCUCACCUCGGUGCGUGCGGCUCCUUCACUUCGAUGCUCUCGGCCCCAGGAGCCCGUCUCACCGCGAUGGGAGCCAGCAAGCAGGGGCUCUGCAGGGCGCCUCGUGCCCCCGUCCCAGCACCUCGCUGGCUGCUCUCUGCUCCGUGCCUGGCUCCUGUAGCGUGCCCACCCCGGCAUCGCUCCGGUGCUCCGGCCACGGGGACCAGCCCCCACUUGCUUCUCCUCCUCCCCGUCAGAGCUGCCAAUUGCGCCUCCUUUCCCACGCAGAGACAGCUGAGAGGCCGAUCUCCCCCUCUGCAGAGAGGGAAGGGUGCCAGUGGGGAAAUACGAGCCGAGCAGCUCUGCAGCCUGCUGACCCCUGCUUGGGGAGGAUGGGCUCGGCUGGCGAGGGGGUGGCCGUGACAAUGUCCCAGCGCUUCCACGGGGCUCGGUGAAGCAAACAGCUGGUAGCCAGAACCUGAGCUGGGUGGCACUGGGCUCAAAGGACCCACGAUGAAGUGCUCAUGGUGUCGGUCCAGGAGGACGGAUGGUGGCAUGAGAGGCUGUCCCAGCAGCAGAAAGCCCCACGCCCCGGCGAUGCCACCUGUCCCCGCAGCCGCCGCUCAGCUCGGAUGUCCCCACGUCCCAGUGCUGCGCUCAGCAGCGCUCUCGAGGAAUGGAGCAGCGCUGUGCUGGGCCACUGGAUUUUUGUUGGAAACCUGGAAGUCCUCCUGGCCUCGUGGGAUGGCUGACGGCUUGCUGCCAAAUUCUGGAGAACCAUCCCAAUUCAUGUUUCUCACAAGCCCUUUUUUUCUGCAAGAGAAGGAGGAAAUUCUCGUAUAAAAAUGGAAAUGCACCCCUUUUGCCAAGCUAUUAAUUCUGCUUCCUAUGGAAACCAAGACAUCCCUGUCUUUAUUCUUUCUGCACUGAACUUCCAAGUUUAUUUUUAUGCCCAGAUUUGGCAAAGCACUUAAGCCUGAACAGUGUUACGCAUGAGCUGAAGUCCAUCCCUGCGUGAGGGUCUAUUGAAAACACCUUACAGCGCACGCAGACAUGUGCUUCAGCAAAAACCUCCUUGCACUGGGUUUGUUCCUCACUACAGAGACUUUCUUUUUUUCUCCUUGCCAAGUUAUCAUUUGCUUUAAUUAAUUUCGCACAGAGAGCCUGGGAGUUCAGUGGUGGUUUCAGGCCUCUAGAAUAGCCAGGGAAACCAAUUUAAUUAGAUCAAGUGAGCCAAAGUUACUUAAGCGAUUUGUAAUAAGUUCCAGGUUCUCCCACACCAAAGGGUUUCAGCCGAGGACAGGAACUUCCUGAGCGUGUUCUGCAGCGCGGGAGGAGCGGGGCCGCAGCCCGGGACUUUUAAACCUGCAUCGGCUGAACACUUGUGCGUGGACAGCGGGGAGCACCCGGCGGGGUGCGGAGC